ensembl:snRNA Gm23422 predicted gene, 23422
GUGCUUGCUUUGACAGCACAUGUACAAAAAUUGGAAUGAUACAGAGAAGAUUUACAUGGCCCCUGUGCAAGGAUGACAUACAAAUUCACGAAGCGUUCCAUAUUUUA